rnacentral:tRNA from 1 species
GCUCAUGUGGCGGAAUGGCAGACGCGCUCGUUUCAGGUGCGAGUGCCGAGAGGCGUGCAAGUUCGACUCUUGUCAUGAGCA